rnacentral:rRNA from 1 species
GACGAACGCUGGCGGCGUGCUUAACACAUGCAAGUCGAACGGAAAGGCCCUGCUUUUGUGGGGCGCUCGAGUGGCGAACGGGUGAGUAACACGUGAGUAACCUGCCCUUGACUUUGGGAUAACUUCAGGAAACUGGGGCUAAUACCGGAUAGGAGCUCCUGCUGCAUGGUGGGGGUUGGAAAGUUUCGGCGGUUGGGGAUGGACUCGCGGCUUAUCAGCUUGUUGGUGGGGUAGUGGCUUACCAAGGCUUUGACGGGUAGCCGGCCUGAGAGGGUGACCGGCCACAUUGGGACUGAGAGACGGCCCAGACUCCUACGGGAGGCAGCAGUGGGGAAUAUUGCACAAUGGGCGGACGCCUGAUGCAGCAACGCCGCGUGCGGGAUGACGGCCUUCGGGUUGUAAACCGCUUUCGCCUGUGACGAGGCGUGAGUGACGGUAAUUAGUAAAGAAGCACCGGCUAACUACGUG